UUGUGUUUUCAUAGGACUGUU
rnacentral:piRNA from 1 species